CGCUCUCACCCUAUCAGGUGACAUCGCCUCCGGAAGCCUUCAAGCAGACGGCGAUCGGGGGCGAAGCGGUCCGUCACGCGCCAUGACGACCCCCAGAUUCGCUUGGUUUCGUUCUGAUCUUGGAAUCUCACCUCGUUCGUCGAUUCCUUCGGUGUCCAUCAUCUCUGUUAUGAGGAUUUAAUUUUCGUUGUUUUAAUGAGGGUUUGUUGCUUAAUGUAUUGGAUCUCUUUCGGACGAUCAUCUCAUUUCAUCAUCGCCCUAGUUGUUGUUUUAUGUUAGUGCUAUCGUUUAAUGGGUUGUUUUUGCUGUAUGAUCUUGAAUGGAUGAGCCGGGUUACAAUUGUUCAGUUGUUGAGGGUAUAGUUUAUUCUCGUUCUCUUUUUCUUUGUUUGCUUCGUGAAUUCUAGUUUUGACGAUGAUAUUUAAGGUACAAAAUGCGCCUGUUAUGAAUUUCUGAUCAAGUUGUUUGUUCGUGAAAUUCGAUUUAAGUUCUGCGUGAUUUUAUACGAAAUUUCUUUUCGCUGUCUACAUGUUCUCCAUUGGUUGGAUUCACAAGAAAACCUAAUUCGACAGGGAUAGUCAAGUUGUUGUUUCGUAUGCGUGGUUUUGGUUGAUUUCUAAUGCCCUCGGUGACGUUCAUGCUUUGCCUAAUUGUUCUUGUUAGUUGCCAUUUGUUACAGUUUUUGAAGCCGUAGAAUAUGUUGACAACGACUCAAUAUAAUACUCAACUUUAUGGCUCAUUUUGAAGAUUUGGCAGUCUUUGUGCUCGAUCAUUGAUCAUGCAUACGACUGGCGGUGCGUGUCCAAGAGCAGCUGUAGCAUCAUGUGAAGGAAUUCAGCAAUGUCAUCAUUAUAUGUAGUUUCUUUGGGGAACUUAAGACUCUCAAGAUCAUCAUUCAACUCCUUCACCAGUGCAUCCAGGUAUCUAGCUUCCCCUGUUGCAUGAGGCCUUGUCAUGGCACAGCCUGGUUGCUCGUUUGUAGAACACCAACUGGAAUAUCAAUUUUGAAAAUUUCUUGUGCUGUGUUGCGGAAAUGCUGAUUGUUAAUCAGAAGUUGCAUGAGGAAAUGUUCAUCCUUGGUUGUGGUUCUGAAUCUACACUGAUGGAAGCUUCUUGCUCUGGUAAAGCCUCCAAAGCUGAUUUUAUUAUGUCAUCAUCCUGGGAGAAAAAUGUAUGAGAUGCUAGCAGGCCAAUAAACAGAAUAUAGUGCAAAAGCUUCAUGGAGUUGUGUCCUGGCCAUAAUGAGGUUUUCAUAUUAUUCCAGCAAAAUGAAUUCACAAUGAAUCAGGCAAAAAAGAGAUAUUUUCAUCGCUCAGAGUCAAUGCAGAUCGACUUUGUUGCUUCAAUGAUUGGAGAGAGGAUAACUUACAUUGGUCUCCGCAACUGUCUCCUCUUCUAAUACUUCAUUGUCUUUGCCAGCAUCAACUGAAGAAUUAUCUGAAACCAAGUUGGAAAAUUUACAGGCUUCAUCAAUGUUUUCACCAGAAUUUGAGGCAGCUCUUUAUCAGUUCUUGAAUAUGUCUGUAAGAGCUUCGUAUCUUCAGAGUUCUUAUGUGAUGACGUUCUAUCCAAUUCAACAUAGGCAGAGGUCACCUUCUUGGUUUGAUUUGCUGAUAAGCUGGCGAACUGAUUCAGAUAUGUUUCUUCUCUCUUCUUCUUUUUCUGCCAUUUCUCUCAGUUGUACCAAAUUCUUCUUGGCUAUCCCUUCUUUUAAACUGUGGUUUAUGUCGAUGUUCUCGAUCUUCCUAUUGAUUUCAAGAUGCCUCUUUGGUGCAUGAUUUGACAAUGGAGUCAUGUUCCGUAUAUAAUUUGUCUUCUCCUUGCUGCUUUUGUCCUUAGUUUCGUCAACACCGUUUUCAUUCAGAAUCUUGUUCUCUUUUCUCACUUUUUCAUCUGCUAUUGACGUCUGACCUAUCACCAUCUCUUUCUUAGACUUCGGUUCUUUCUUUCCUUCAACUUUUUUCCCCUCAGCCUUGGGCAUUGGAAGUUCUUCAAGGCCCAUAAGUUUAGCAACAAUAUUUGGCAUUCUUACACUGCUGCUCACCAGGCUUUUAGGAUCCAACUGCUUGGUGUUCUUUGAAGCAGAGAACUUGCCACUACCAGUUGAGAAGUUUCCAGGUUCACCACCAUGGCCUUGUUUGUGUGUAAUGCCUGAAUACAAGGAAUUAGGCAGCGAUCCAGGACCACAACUCAGAGACUGUUUGUGUGUAGCGACUUGCGUUGAUGCAUCUAAUGAACUCUGACUAUAAUUUGUUUUGGCUAUACUUUUUUUGAUAGAAGAUGAUGGCGUUUUUCUCUGCCCUUGAAUUAUGGUAUCAUCAUUUGCUUUGGUGAAUUUGUAGAAAUGGUUGAUGGACCCAUCAAAAGAAAUUCUGGGCUUGUACAUUAGAGCCUUCCGAUUGUCUUUGACGUCAGAUGUUUCAUCGUCUUCCACACCCUCGAGCAAUUUGAUCUGCCUCCCUUGAGACCCAACCAUGUAAUCUGAAGCCUCCUGCAGGGUGGCAAGCAUUUUCAACGACUCUUCCAAAUCUAUGGCCCCUUUCAACAAUUCUCUUCCAAUCUGAAUUGAAUCCUUUCCAAAAUUUGUCCUAUCGGAGAAGGUUUCGAGGAUCUUAUUCAAUUUCUGAACACCUUUUGAUAUUUCACCGACUUGCAAGUUGGAUAAAAAAGGAUAUCGAUCGGCAUGAUGUUUCGUGCUGUAUAACAAGUGUUGAUUUGCAGUUCCUGCAUAAUAUAUAGAUCCACUAUGUGGAAUGAGCUCGUUACCAAAUUUAGCUAUGUAAUGAAGUUUUCCACUAUUACUGAGUGCCAGUGCUAGUGCCAUUGACACAUCGACAGAAUUCUGAAUGCUUGUGGCUCUUCCAGCAGGAACAAUCUCCCGUGAAGCAACUUGAGGAGCAGCUGUUUUGUUAUGUUUGGUGCUGAACCAUAUUUCCGUCACUUGUGCGCUGACCGGAUUCUUGCUGCUCUGCAAACUCUGCCAACAAGAACAAAAAUAACAUCACUGAAUGGUGCAUACAGCCGAACAUAUUCCAUUAUUUAAAAAGUUGUGUUUAAGGAACUUGCAUAGUUCUUCUUCUUCUUCAUUAUGUCUCCUGUUCCUCUGGACGACCGUCGGGAGCUGACAUGAUACUCUACAAUAUUAUUCAAAGAAGAUGAUUAACAUGUUGAGCAACCGCUGCUGCAUCUAUGCCCAAAAUAUGGAAUGAAACAGCGAAGAUGCAGAAUUAUUUCAAGCAUAGAACAAGCUCGUCUGAUGAAGGGAUCUUAGGUCCUCCUAAGAGUUCUGUUCAGAAGACCUUGUUUCAGAGUAUCUUGUUCAAACGGAUCAUGGAGGAAGCUGUCUACCCCAUUCACCGAAUAAGCAGGUGGCUGCGCCGGUUGCUGUCCCGAUGACGAUGCAACAUAUCCCAGCUUCUCCUUCCUCCUCCUGAUGUCAUCCAACAGCUUCUGUGCAAAAUCCGGUCGCUUCGCCAUAGACACACUCUUCUUCUUUCUCCUGUUAACCUUGUCGCCGCACCGUGGAGUUCUCCAUGGCCUUCACCUUGAGAUAUCCGGUGGAGAUCAGCGUGAUGGUUAUUUGUUUCACCGACGCAGAUUCUGCAGCUGCUGCAUGAGUGCGUCCGCGUCUGCCUUGGCUCCAUUCCAAGCAAAGCAAGAGGCCUUCUCCUUGCGGAAGACUUCUUCCCAAGCUUGCACGCAAAGCUUCUUCGGCUGAGGAAGUGGGAGGUCUUGUAAGAGGUGGUGUGUCGUCGCAUGGGCGGUGAAAUGCCGGUGUCGAUGUUACGUCUCCUCCUUUUUUUUGUUUUAGCAGCCAAAAACCCCCAUGGAUUGUGUUGAUCCAUCUAUUGGAGCCAUGACAUCUUUUAGCUUUGAAGGAUUCAUCCCAACCACCGUUUCGACUAAUUUGAUGGACUUUACCUCGAAGAUCUCGAUUCUUUA